GUUGAACGCUGGCGGCGUGCCUAAUACGUGCAAGUCGAGCGAACAGAUGAGGAGCUUGCUCCUCUGACGUUAGCGGCGGACGGGUGAGUAACACGUGGAUAACCUACCUAUAAGACUGGGAUAACUUCGGGAAACCGGAGCUAAUACCGGAUAAUAUAUUGAACCGCAUGGUUCAAUAGUGAAAGACGGUUUUGCUGUCACUUAUAGAUGGAUCCGCGCCGCAUUAGCUAGUUGGUAAGGUAACGGCUUACCAAGGCAACGAUGCGUAGCCGACCUGAGAGGGUGAUCGGCCACACUGGAACUGAGACACGGUCCAGACUCCUACGGGAGGCAGCAGUAGGGAAUCUUCCGCAAUGGGCGAAAGCCUGACGGAGCAACGCCGCGUGAGUGAUGAAGGUCUUCGGAUCGUAAAACUCUGUUAUUAGGGAAGAACAAAUGUGUAAGUAACUAUGCACGUCUUGACGGUACCUAAUCAGAAAGCCACGGCUAACUACGUG
rnacentral:rRNA from 1 species